AUGGGUAUGUGCUCUGCGUGUGUGUGUGUGUGUGUGUGUGUGCGUGCGGGGGGGGGGUUGAAGCCCAUCUUUGUGUGCUCUGUGUGUGUGUGCUGUGUGUGCAGGGUGGGUGCAGUGUUGCAUACUCUGUGUGUGUGCAGGUUUGUGGGUUUGCGGGCUACACGUGUGUGCACAGUGCACGCGCAGGUUUGCAGGCUGUUUGCAUGCUCUGUGUGUGUGUGUGUGUGUGUGUGUGUUUGCACUACAUGUGUGCACACUGUAUGUGGGGGUUUGCAUGCUGUGUGUGCGCGCGUGUCUGUGUGUGCACACUGUGCUGGUUUGCAGGCUGUGUUUGCGUGCGCGGUGUGUGCUGAGUGUAUGCGUUUGCACACUGUGUAUGUGAGUUCACAGGCUGUGUUUGUGUGGGGUGCGUGUAUGUGCAGGGUGGUUGGAGGCUGCCUUUGCACCCUCUGUGUGUGUAUGUGCGUGUGUGCAUGCAGGUUUGGAGACUAUAUAGUGUGUGUGUGUGUGUGUGUGUGUGUGCGCGUGCGUGUGUAUGUAUGCAGGUUUGCAGACUGUGUUUUUGCCCUGUGUGUGUACAUGUGUGUGUUGGGGGGGGUGCAGGCUGUUUGCAUGCUCUGUGUGUGUGUGUGUGUGUGCACAUGCAUGCAUGUGUGGCUUUGCAGACUGUAUGUACUGUGUGUGUGCAUGUGCAGGUUUGCAGGCUGUGUGCGUGUGGGGGGGGGUUGCAGGCUGUGUGUGGGGGUGUUGCAGGUUGUGUGUGUGGUGCCCUGUGCGUGUGCGUGUGGGGGGGCUGCAGACUGCUUGCGCGCUCUGCGUGUGCGUGUUUGCAGGCUGUGUGUGUGUGUGUGUGUGCGCACGCCGUGGGUGCGCUGUGGGUGCCGCAUCCCUGGCGGGUCCCUCCCCGCCCCCGGGGCUCCCCCAGCACCGGCCGGAGCGGGGCCGCCGCGGCGGGGCUGUGCGGGGCGCGGGGAAGUUUGUUGCCCCCGCUCCACUCCGCCCCGCUCCGCCCGGCCCCGCGGCGGGGGCUGC
rnacentral:lncRNA from 1 species